rnacentral:tRNA from 1 species
UCUGUCGUAGUCUAGCUGGUUAGGACACGAGGCUCCAACCCGUGUGACCCGGGUUCGAGUCCCGGCGGCGGAA